rnacentral:piRNA from 1 species
UGUGUCACUGAUGUAGAAGAGUGGGUCCUA